UACGGGGGGUGCUAGCGUCGUUCGGAAUCACUGGGCGUAAAGCGUACGUAGGCGGUUAUGCAAGUCAGUGGUGAAAACCCGUGGCUCAACCUGAGAAAUGCCUGUGAUACUGCAUGUCUAGAGUCCGAGAGAGGUGAGAGGAAUUCCUAGAGUAGAGGUGAAAUUCGUAGAUACUAGGAAGAACACCAGUGGCGAAGGCGUGUUACUGGAUCGGUACUGACGCUGAGGUGCGAAAGCGAGGGGAGCAAAUAGG
rnacentral:rRNA from 1 species